rnacentral:tRNA from 1 species
GUCGGGGUGGUGAAAUGGUAGACACGCUAGUCUUAGGAACUAGUCCCGUUAAUGGGUUGAGGGUUCGAGUCCCUCCCCCGACA